AGCGGGGAUAGGGUGCUUGCACCUGAUUCCUAGCGGCGGACGGGUGAGUAAUGCUUAGGAAUCUGCCUAUUAGUGGGGGACAACGUUCCGAAAGGGACGCUAAUACCGCAUACGUCCUACGGGAGAAAGCAGGGGAUCUUCGGACCUUGCGCUAAUAGAUGAGCCUAAGUCGGAUUAGCUAGUUGGUGGGGUAAAGGCCUACCAAGGCGACGAUCUGUAGCGGGUCUGAGAGGAUGAUCCGCCACACUGGGACUGAGACACGGCCCAGACUCCUACGGGAGGCAGCAGUGGGGAAUAUUGGACAAUGGGGGGAACCCUGAUCCAGCCAUGCCGCGUGUGUGAAGAAGGCCUUUUGGUUGUAAAGCACUUUAAGCGAGGAGGAGGCUUACCUGGUUAAUACCUGGGAUAAGUGGACGUUACUCGCAGAAUAAGCACCGGCUAACUCUGUGCCAGCAGCCGCGGUAAUACAGAGGGUGCAAGCGUUAAUCGGAUUUACUGGGCGUAAAGCGCGCGUAGGUGGCUAAUUAAGUCAAAUGUGAAAUCCCCGAGCUUAACUUGGGAAUUGCAUUCGAUACUGGUUAGCUAGAGUAUGGGAGAGGAUGGUAGAAUUCCAGGUGUAGCGGUGAAAUGCGUAGAGAUCUGGAGGAAUACCGAUGGCGAAGGCAGCCAUCUGGCCUAAUACUGACACUGAGGUGCGAAAGCAUGGGGAGCAAACAGGAUUAGAUACCCUGGUAGUCCAUGCCGUAAACGAUGUCUACUAGCCGUUGGGGCCCUUGAGGCUUUAGUGGCGCAGCUAACGCGAUAAGUAGACCGCCUGGGGAGUACGGUCGCAAGACUAAAACUCAAAUGA
rnacentral:rRNA from 1 species